UAUCCCCAAAAUAUUCUGUGAAAGCCAUCCAAACGCGGUCUUCCCCAUUGCCAACUCUUCACACCCCCAAAGGACUUCAUUCGAGUUUGUGUAUAACACGACUUUCAAAUCAGAAGCGCCCCGUAGAAGAGGCGGGCCAAUGGGCAACUCCGGAUCAUCAUCCACCGAUCCUCGCUUUGCCUCCGCCGCUAGAGCAUUUACUCAGAAGGAAUUGGAAGAUUUAAGAUCACUCCAUACCUCGCUUGCCUCCCAGUCCCAAAGCAAUGGGAAAUACGUAUCUCCUGAUGUUUUCAAGGCGUAUAUUGGAAUUGAUGGGCCUCUUGGGGAUAGGGUUUUCGAUUUGGUUACGCAGAAACGCAAGGAUCAAAAGCUCACUUUUGAAGACCUCGUUAUUGCUAAGGGGACUUAUGAGAAAGGAACUAAUGAGGACAUUGAAGAGUUCAUUUACCAACUGCUUGAUGUCUCAGGUGAUGGCACUGUGAGAAGGAAUGAUCUUGAAGUUGUUUUAACUUCCAUGCUUGAUAACCUAUUUCAUCGACAAAGCUCUGAGACUAAAGCAGGAUCGGACCAGGAAAUUGUUAUUGUUUUCAUCAACGCUGCAAAUUUUACUAGUGAUAGCAUGUCUCUUCAGGAUUUCCAGAAAUGGUGCACUCUUCUUCCAGCAGUCAGGAAAUAUCUGGGCAGUUUGUUAAUGCCCUCUGAUUCAGGUUCGCAAGUACCUCAGUUACAGCAUGAGGACAAGAUUCAUCCUAGUCAAAUUUUGUUGAGGAAGGAAUAUGCUUGGCAUAUUGGAGGAGCACUGUCCCCAACUGAACUGGAUGAGUGGAAACUUUUGUAUCAUAGUUCUGUUCAUGGGCUGAGUUUCAACACAUUUUUGGGCAAUAUACAAAUUGAUGGACCAACUAUAUUGAUCAUCAAAGAUAAAGAAGGUUAUAUCUAUGGAGGCUAUGCUUCUCAGCCAUGGGAGAGGCACUCUGAUUUUUAUGGGGAUAUGAGAUCUUUUCUCUUUCAGCUAUAUCCAGUAGCAUCAAUUUUUCGGCCUACUGGGGCAAACCAUAAUUUACAAUGGUGUGCUGUAAAUUUCAGCUCGGAGAGCAUUCCUAAUGGCAUCGGAUUUGGAGGGCGAGUAAAUCAUUUUGGGCUAUUCCUUUCAGCAAACUUUGAUCAGGGGCACACCUUCAGUUGCACAACUUUUGGCAGCCCAUGCCUAUCGAAGACCUCCCAAAUAUACCCAGAUGUAAUAGAAUGCUGGGGAGUGGUUCCAAGAAGAGCUGAUCAGGAUAGACCAGAAGUUAUCAAAGGUACAGUGCUGGAAAGAUUUAAGGAAGAUCGGCAUAUGCUUAAUAUGGUUGGGCUUGCAAAUUCGAGCGAGUGAUUGUUGACAUCUCUUCCACUUUCUCCCCCUAGACUGUUACUCCGGCUGAAGGUUUAGCCCAUUCAUACUUGUGUGGUUGUGUACAAAUACCCAAAUUUUGCUCAAUUUGCCGAGGUUUACAAUUACAAAUAUGCAAGUGCUACUAAUUCUGAAA